rnacentral:rRNA from 1 species
GGAAUAUUGGACAAUGGGCGAAAGCCUGAUCCAGCCAUGCCGCGUGUGUGAAGAAGGCUUUCGGGUUGUAAAGCACUUUCAGUGAGGAAGAAAGCCUUGGGGCUAAUACCCCCGAGGAAGGACAUCACUCACAGAAGAAGCCCCGGCUAACUCCGUGCCAGCCGCCGCGGUAAUACGGAGGGUGCAAGCGUUAAUCGGAAUUACCGGGUGGAAAGCGCGCGUAGGUGGUUUUGUAAGUCGGAUGUGAAAGCCCUGGGCUCAACCUGGGAAUUGCAUUCGAUACUGCUUAACUAGAGUAUGGUAGAGGGAAGUGGAAUUUCCGGUGUAGCGGUGAAAUGCGUAGAUAUCGGAAGGAACACCAGUGGCGAAGGCGACUUCCUGGGCCAAUACUGACACUGAGGUGCGAAAGCGUGGGUAGCA